GUGUCCUAAAUUUCCUCGGGAGAUAGCUUUCGUGUGCUGCAAGCUUUAUAGUUAUUAUGGCUUGGGUGAAUUAAGUGCAGUUGUUUUGUGCGUAUGGUAUAAUUUUCAUAUCAUAUUCAAAGUUUUUGCAAAUUGCCCUUAUUAAUGCAUCUUAUAUAUGUAUGUAUUUGAUGCAUCUUUUGUUAUGGUUCAUUUUUAAAAUUCUUUAUCUCUUUCCGUCCUAAAAUUGUUUUUUGUGAAAAGACAAGUGCGUAUGUACCGCCGAAAAACAUUGAAAUGAGAAAGUGAUCACAGCAUACGCGCAUACUUCUGUCGCCAAAACAUAAAUUAAACAGGGAAAUUCCCUCUGUUUCAUUGCCUGAAACGUCAACAAGCUUUCAUUGACCUUUGACUCGUACCCAGUACAUAAAAUGUAAAGUAAAUGAUGAUGCAUGAUGGGAAUGAUCGAGGCUCAAAUUUUCUUUGUCGUUCCCAUCAUGCAUCAUACUCCUCAGUCCACUGAUCUAUGUAUGUACUCAUUGACGACUGGGUACGACUCAGCUGCGAGAAUGCAUGUUUUUAGAUACGGUAAUAUCUCUACUAAGCCCCGCUUAUUUUUUGAGGCACUGGAGAGGGGCAAAAUUACAUGAUAAUUUUGAUUCAAGCCUCAUACAUUGUUUAGCAAUAAUUUAUUUGAGCAAGAUAAUCAAGGUAUUUCCUUUGCCUCCCCAAUUUUCGCUGCCCGUAGAAAUACCACGCAGGCUAGAUAAUCAAUAAAUCUAUUAGAAAGGGGGAUCUUAUUAGUGAGGGGAGGCUUAUUUAAGAGGAGGCUGAUUAGGGAGGAGGGCAUGUUACAGAGGGGGUGUAUUUAGAGGCGGGCUUAUUUGACUUAUUUGAGACGGAGGCUUAUUAGAUAUAAAGGGGCAUAUUUAAAGAGGGAGCUUGUUUGAGGGGGGCAUUAGAGGGAGAGGGGGUCGUUGAUAGGAAGCUUUCAAAGACAAAUGCAUUAGUUGCUCGUGUUAGUGUUUUGUAAUUAUAUUAAAUAGCAUAUUUUGUUUUAGUAGGGGUCUGUGCUCAAAAUGAAAGGCUAAUAUAAAUUGCGGAAAUAAAAUAAGUGGCAGUUAGAUGUCCAAGGGUGUAGACGUUUUGUUGAAGACAGUGUAUGGUCGUCAAGUCAAUUAUACAACUUAGUAGUUAUUACCAUGAACCAUAUUAAACCUCUAAUUGUCAUUGCUAAAAACUAAAUAUUAGUUGUAUUUGAUUACAUUAUGAUACUAUGAACUACACUACUAAAUUAUUAUUAUAUACAAAAAGAUUGAAUCCUAUACAAAAUUAAGCAAGCCUUGUGAGCAGUAAUGGUCAAAACAUGACCAGAAAAUGAGCCCCGUCAGAUUCAAGUAUGGUGCGGUGCGACUUAUGGAAGUCCCAGUAGCUUAUACGAAGACCGGAUGGCACUAUCCACCAGAUAGUGAGUAGUGAUAGAUGUGUUUUCAAGUUUUCUAAAAUUGUCUCUUGAUUGCAUGGCUUCGUAUUCUCAGUGGAAGGUUUUUUAUAUUUUAAUAUUGUGGUAUUCGUAGUUUCACAGUUUUUCACGCUUCUUGCAAAGGUUGAAAAAUGACUACAUUCCGAUGAAUAGUGCUAUAUGCAGAACACUCGCAUCAGUUUGGUGUUGGUGGUCGUGCUCAUCCGAAUCUGUAUACUUGAUUGGCUAAGUCGCUACGACCAAUGCGUUGAAAUACAUAGUUCAAAAGACAAAGGACACACUUUUGUCCACCAAGAUAGCAUCUCUGUAAGGGCGUUACUAUAAAGGCGUUGAUCAUCUCAUCAGAUGGAGUGGCAUGUAAUUGUAUGGAAUCCUUGACCAUACUGGAAGGGAGGCUUGGAUAGACUACAAAAAUA